rfam:Callithrix jacchus chromosome 22, whole genome shotgun sequence
UCUCAAGCUACGAUCCUCUAAAGGGAAGCACGUUCUGUUGUCUGAGAGAUAAGCACGUGCCUUCCUUUAGGGGGUCACUGUUUGAGA